GGACCUGUGGUCCAGUGGUAGGACGUCCCUGCCCUGAAACUAACCAGAAGCUACCCUGAAAUUUCGCUUCCUUAGAUACGUAUGGGGAGGAGGAUUUAGAGACGGUCUCUGCAUGGUGAAUGGGGCUGGGUGAUGGGGAAGGCGGAGUCUUCGAUUCCUCUCGCGUCCA